rnacentral:rRNA from 1 species
CCUACGGGGGGCAGCAGUGGGGAAUAUUGGACAAUGGGCGAAAGCCUGAUCCAGCCAUGCCGCGUGUGUGAAGAAGGCCUUCGGGUUGUAAAGCACUUUCAGUGGGGAAGAAAGCCUUGGGGCUAAUACCCUCGAGGAAGGACAUCACCCACAGAAGAAGCACCGGCUAACUCCGUGCCAGCAGCCGCGGUAAUACGGAGGGUGCGAGCGUUAAUCGGAAUUACUGGGCGUAAAGCGCGCGUAGGCGGUCUGAUAAGCCGGUUGUGAAAGCCCCGGGCUCAACCUGGGAACGGCAUCCGGAACUGUCAGGCUAGAGUGCAGGAGGGGAAGGUAGAAUUCCCGGUGUAGCGGUGAAAUGCGUAGAGAUCGGGAGGAAUACCAGUGGCGAAGGCGGCCUUCUGGACUGACACUGACGCUGAGGUGCGAAAGCGUGGGUAGCAAACAGGAUUAGAUACCCGGGUAGUC